rnacentral:lncRNA from 1 species
UUUUGGUGUAAUGAAUUGAAAACAUUUUUGGUUUGAUAUAAGAUUUAGUGCAAGGUUGAAGAUAGUCUAAUGAUUUAACUAUCUGUCAACAACUUUUGGAAGCCAAUGCCAUGUUAGUUGGAUAAGUUGCCAAUAAUUUGUUCCCCUUUUUAGCAUGUCAUCGUGAUCAAAUAACUUAAAGUUUGAUUAGUCAAACACUUGAAUAAACAAAACCUCUAUUGAGAAAUCAUGCAUCCGGCGCAUGUACAAGUUGUUAGUAACAAGAAGCUCAGAAUUGCAUGACAAAUAUCGUCAAAACUCAAUAAAAAAGGAAAUUAAAUGAAGUACUUCCAUAUGUGGUGCGGUAAGGCAUUGCCCUCUUGUGCUAGCAGCCAACUCUAACGUGUCAGCUUAGUUAUCUCAUCAAGUCACUUACUUGAUGUCUAGCUUUCCAAUCGGUAGAACUUUCCUUAGCCCUUUCCACGAAUCUUCCUUGGCUUUAAACUUAAGCUACUACCUGUCACUUUACUUUUUGCGCCUUAAGUUGGAAGAUCCUAUUGAUAGCCUUGACCUGGAUAUGGAAACUAAGCAUGGGAUGCUAAACUCAAAAGAAAAAGAAUGCCACUCAAAGAAUUUGUGUUUUCAUAAGGAGGCCAUUGAAGGCUUUUCACAAAUUAAGAUUUGACUGUAGAAGGAUCGAAUUGUAUCCGAAGAAUGGAGGGAUACAAAAAAAAUUAU